rnacentral:rRNA from 1 species
AACGAACGCUGGCGGCAGGCUUAACACAUGCAAGUCGAGCGCCCCGCAAGGGGAGCGGCAGACGGGUGAGUAACGCGUGGGAAUCUACCCAUCUCUACGGAAUAACGCAUGGAAACGUGUGCUAAUACCGUAUACGUCCUUCGGGAGAAAGAUUUAUCGGAGAUGGAUGAGCCCGCGUUGGAUUCGCUAGUCGGUGGGGUAAAGGCCUACCAAGGCGACGAUCCAUAGCUGGUCUGAGAGGAUGAUCAGCUACACUGGGACUGAGACACGGCCCAGACUCCUACGGGAGGCUGCAGUGUGGAGUAUUGGACAAUGGGCGCAAGCCUGAUCCAGCCAUGCCGCGUGAGUGAUGAAGGCCCUAGGGUUGUAAAGCUCUUUCACCGGUGAAGAUAAUGACGGUAACCGGAGAAGAAGCCCCGACUAACUUCGUGCCAGCCGCCGCAGUAAGAC